UGAAACUCUUCCAUCUUCGUUUCUACUAGAUCAUAAAAAUCCACCGCUGCCGCGACCUUAUCCUCACCCCAUUUCGCCUCUUGGGAUCCAUCCAUCUUGAUCUCGUAUGCUGUUCUCUGCUCGCGCUGCCGGUGGCCACGCGACGCACCGCGUCUCCUCCUGCCGCCCCACGCGCCUUUGCCGCCAGGUCAGUUGUUGCUGACGAUCUACUGUCGCCCCAUGCCAUCGACCUACUGCUGCAGAGGAUGGAGUUGUCGUGUGCUCGGCAGCCUUGCGCAAUCUAUAUCCUGAGCGCGGUCGCGCCCCUCUCCCCCUCUAGAGUUUUUUAUUUCCAUUCAAGUGACUCCGGCAGCUAGAUGCACCCAUCCAAGAUCUGCACGACUGCUGGUGACUAUGAAAUUGUUUCCAAAAUUCUCUGUUUUAGCUACCUAUCAUAAAGGGUACCUAUCCAAGGCAUGCAUCAUUAGUCCAACAUAAAAUUUCCAUACCCAAGGUCAUCUGUGAUCAGAGGAACACUUUAUGUACAAUCAGUACAGAGUACAGACCAUGUGAAACUAAAGAGCUAUGUAACUAUGUAAUAUGGGCUUUUAUUUUUGAUAAGGUAUGUUAAUUAUAUGAGAUGAUCACUUCCUUGAUUUUUCAGAGGUAUGGAUCUGUUGUGUUUAGUUUGUCC